AAUAUGUGUUUGUGUUCGGUUUAAGUAAAACAUAACAUAUAGAGCUGCUGACAUGAAGAUGGCCAAGACAGACCCCACGGCUACGCUAACUUGGAAGAAACCAGGCUCCAUAUUGUUUCUUACGCACUUCAAAUUUGUUCUUUCUCACCUUUUUUUCUUCCGUGUCUUCUUCACUUUCUCGGUUGCAAAAGAUACUUAUAUAUGUAUGCAGGGCCGGCUCAACAAAACGUGGGACCCUGUGCUCGUUAAUUUUUUUUCUAAUAUAUGUUCUAUAUGUUUAGAAUUUAGUUUGAUUAUACACUACUGUUUGUAAAAUGGACCUUGAUUGCUUAAAGAAAAUGAUUGAAAAAAUAAAGGACCCUGUGCAUUAGCACCAAGGGCACACCCUCUAAGCCGGGCCUGUAUG